rnacentral:rRNA from 1 species
AUUGAACGCUGGCGGCAGGCCUAACACAUGCAAGUCGAACGGUAACAGGAAGAAGCUUGCUUCUUUGCUGACGAGUGGCGGACGGGUGAGUAAUGUCUGGGAAACUGCCUGAUGGAGGGGGAUAACUACUGGAAACGGUAGCUAAUACCGCAUAACGUCGCAAGACCAAAGAGGGGGACCUUCGGGCCUCUUGCCAUCGGAUGUGCCCAGAUGGGAUUAGCUAGUAGGUGGGGUAACGGCUCACCUAGGCGACGAUCCAUAGCUGGUCUGAGAGGAUGACCAGCCACACUGGAACUGAGACACGGUCCAGACUCCUACGGGAGGCAGCAGUGGGGAAUAUUGCACAAUGGGCGCAAGCCUGAUGCAGCCAUGCCGCGUGUAUGAAGAAGGCCUUCGGGUUGUAAAGUACUUUCAGCGGGGAGGAAGGGAGUAAAGUUAAUACCUUUACUCAUUGACGUUACCCGCAGAAGAAGCACCGGCUAACUCCGUG